rnacentral:rRNA from 1 species
UACGUAGGGUGCGAGCGUUGCCCGGAUUUAUUGGGCGUAAAGGGCGCGUAGGCGGCCACGCACGUCCGUUGUGAAAUCGCCCGGCUCAACUGGGCGGGGUCAGCGGAUACGGUGUGGCUAGGGCAAGCUAGGGGGCAAUGGAAUUCCCGGUGUAGUGGUGGAAUGCGUAGAUAUCGGGAGGAACACCAGUGGCGAAGGCGGUUGCCUGGAGCUUUGCUGACGCUGAUGCGCGAAAGCGUGGGGAGCGAUCCGG